rnacentral:lncRNA from 1 species
GCGGAGCUCCCAUUUAGGGGUCACAGGAUCAAGAGAAACGUGCCACAAGCUGGAGGCUGUGCAAAACUGGCAGCAAACAUCUCUGGGGAGAGCCCUGCACACAGCCACCCCAACCUCUGGCACCACCACUCUGAUCAGACAGCAGCCAUCAACAUCUAGUCGAGACCCUCCACUAGCAAAGAGAUUAUGACUCACUGAAGGCUCAGAUGAUCAUGAAUAAUUUUCAGAAAUAAAGUACUUUUAAAUUCAGAUGGAGUCUUGCUCUGUUGCCCAGGCUGGAGCACAAUCUCAGUUCACUGAAACCUCCGCCUCCUGGAUUCAAGCAAUUCUCCUGCCUCAGCCUCCUGAGUAGCUGGGAUUGCAGCUACAAUGCCACCAGGUGAUCGGAAUUUUUCAGCUCCAUUAAAAUCUUAUGAGACCAUCACUGAAUAUGUGGUCCGUCAUUGACCAAAACAUCAUGAUGCAGCUCAUGACUAUAGUUCUGUCUCAGAAGAUCCAGGAAAUAGUAGGUUCCUCCGAGGCCGGAAGCCCAUUCAGUAUCUUAGCCAAUGGCAUGUCUUAUAGAUAGAUACAAAUAGUGCAGCCUUUUGCCGAAGAAAUGAUAUCUUGUUUCCUUUGCCAGGAGCUGUGUGCUUGCAACAGUAAUAUAAAUGUGCAGCCCACAUUAGGUACUCAAACAACUUGUCAUUUGUUUGAAAAGGAGCCCUUUAUUUGACUAGAAGAAACAGGAGCCAAAUGAGCUUGAUUCCUUCUCAUGCCAGCCAGCAAUGCAAUUACAGGAAUGGGGACUGGGGAAGGACAAAUUGAUCAGUCACCCAUGCACAUAGGUGCAGGGGCUAUGUACUUGAAGUGGUUGGUUGUGGUUGGGACCCUGCCUUGGUCUGUUAAUUACAUAUUGCAAAAUGGGAUCUCAUAAGUGACUGUAAUUCAUUGGUAAUUUCUUGAGAAAUUACAAUUUUUGACAGGAAAGUUUUUUUUCUUUGUGUCCCCUGAUAAAUUCUCCUGGUUUGUAAAAUCUUUAGAAUUCAUAAUCCUUAGGUAAUGCACUUUGUAGAAACAGCAGGAAUGUGAGGAUUUGCAAACCUCCUUUUCUUCACUGAUGAGUAUAAAAAUGCUGCAGUUUACUUCAACUGUUGAAAGUGGAACUUUCUCCAUAUUUAAGCAGUGGUGUUCUCUUUUCAUGCUGAAAAGCAAUGAAUUGUCAAAAAUGGACAUCUUGCCAUGAAUAAAGAUGACAACUGAGUAGGUGACUCAGAAAUGUGCCUGACAAGAGAGAAAUGGUUUGAAUAUAGAGUGUAUAUAUACUCUUCUACUAAAAACUUGGGAGACCAAACAAGUCUGAUUGCAAUGGGUAACCAACAAACAGGUACAGGGGCAGUAGAUCUCAGUAUGUUCUCAUGAUUCCCAAAUUGCCAACCAAACCUCUUCUGUGUGCUCUUGUUUGUGAGACUAAGAUUCAGCUCUCUUCAGACUAAGAUCACAGCUUGGGUGUGAUUUGAUCCUGCUUCAAGCUGGCAAAGCCUCAGAAGCCCUCUACCAUCAGAAUCCUGCUCAGAGGAAAUAGCUGGAGACCAUUCUUGAAGAACUGUCAUCUUUAGUACUGGAAUUAAGUGUCCUGUUUGGGUCUCACUGACAUGCUAUUCCAGAGACACUCACUGGCUUCUGAAAGCUCAUUCUGGGAUCUGGGAAUGAAACAGAAUUCAGGGAGGAAGCCUUAGAAGAGCCUUAUGUUCAGAGAGACCCUGUGUCCUCUUAAGGGAGCAUCAUUGGUAAACUUCCUACUUCUCAAUUUCCUUAUCUGUAAAAGUUGUUGAAUGAGUUAAAUAGUAUGAUAUGGAAUUCAUAAAGAACUCAAGAUUACCUGCUAUUACUGUGUAAUAUAUUGUUUAUAUUUACAGCACAUACAAAGUACCAGUUUUUCCAUUGUUAAUGUGGAUGUGAAUGUUGCCCUAAAAUAAUCUUGUCUUUUGAUUUGUUAUUCUUCAUCUAUCCUUGCUUCUAUCAUUAUUAAAAAUUUAUCUAUGAAUAAAUUUAGAGAGGAAAUGGAAGUCAUUAUAAAGUUGCAUGUUCAAGCACGGCAAUGAUUCGUAAUUGUCCCAACAGUUAAGUGUACAUCAGUACAGCCCUAACCACACUCACUAAGGCUUUUACACUGAUUACAGAGAUUGUGGGUGCUGAGUUUUCCCCAUGUGUUGCCAUAAAUCUGCUUUUCCUUUCACUUAAGAAGGUACUUAGAAACACAAGAGUGUAAGAAUGAUGUUAUCAAAGACUAACAUUAUAAUCCUUCUAUUCUAUGGAAAAAACAAUUAUUUGUGAAUUUCUGCCAUACUUCACAGCUGGCGAUGGGUCAUGAGAGCUCACUGCCAGACGCCAAGAGCCUGGCUAAGACAAAUGAGAGAAGAAAACUUCUAAGCACGGUGAUGGCAGAAGUGUGUGCCAAUUUGAGUAAUGCUUUUUCUCACAUACUUUCUAUUUUUCCUCUGUCUGGGAACUAGUGCAAGAAAUCUAAAAGAGGAAAACCAGCCUGUUUUCUCUCACUUAUUUGAAUUUACUAGUGUUUGCAAUAGUGUUAAUUUCUGGCUUUAACUGAAGAAUGUUUUUUUGCAGUUUAUUCUCUCAUUUUUCAUUCAUUUAUCCUUUUAUCAACCAGUAUUUCCCUUCCUUUUUUGAGAGGGUUCCUGCAUUAAAUGCUGCAGCUUACUAGGACAAUUCCUGUUCCCCCCAGGAGUUUACAUUCUUCAUGUAAUUCAUAAAAACUUGUCCAUCCACCUUAAUUUAAACAAAUAGUUCUCAGUGGUGCUAGUGGUGGGAGUAAAGGGCUGCUCCCAGAAGACAUUCUUUGGCAAUGUCUGAAGACAUUUGUAAUGACUGAGGGAGGGAGUGCUCCUGGCAUGCCAAGUAGUGAAGAAAUGCUGCUAGAUAAUUCUAGAAUGCUCAGGAGAGCUCUGGGGUAACGUAAAGUAUUAUCCGGUCCCAAAUGAGAAACCCUGUUCUAAACUUUUGCUUGGAACAAGUUUUAUCCUUUACUUAGCACAAUUCUUUAUGUAUAAUAAAGGGAUUUGCCACUUGUUCAUCAACUAAAAGAGGUUCCUAACAUAUUUUAUAGCAUUUCAUAAAUAUUUGUCAAAAGGAUUAAUAUUAAACUGGAUUAAAUUUAAUAAUGCAAUAUAAAGAAUAAUGAUGUGGG